rnacentral:rRNA from 1 species
GAUGAACGCUGGCGGCGUGCCUAAUACAUGCAAGUCGAGCGAACAGACGAGGAGCUUGCUCCUCUGACGUUAGCGGCUGACGGGUGAGUAACACGUGGAUAACCUACCUAUAAUACUUGGAUAACUUCGUGAAACCGGAUCUAAUACCGGAUAAUAUAUUGAACCGCAUGGUUCAAUAGUGAAAGACGGUUUUGCUGUCACUUAUAGAUGGAUCCGCGCCGCAUUAGCUAGUUGGUAAGGUAACGGCUUACCAAGGCAACGAUGCGUAGCCGACCUGAGAGGGUGAUCGGCCACACUGGAACUGAGACACGGUCCAGACUCCUACGGGAGGCAGCAGUAGGGAAUAUUCCGCAAUGGGCGAAAGCCUGACGGAGCAACGCCGCGUGAGUGAUGAAGGUCUUCGGAUCGUAAAACUCUGUUAUUAGGGAAGAACAAAUGUGUAAGUAACUAUGCACGUCUUGACGGUACCUAAUCAGAAAGCCACGGCUAACUACGUG